UGGGGAAUUUUGCACAAUGGAGGAAACUCUGAUGCAGCGACGCCGCGUGAGUGAUGAAGAUCUUCGGAUUGUAAAACUCUGUCCUUAGUGAAGAUAAUGACAGUAACUAAGAAGCAAGCCCUGGCUAAAUACGUGCCAGCAGCCGCGGUAAUACGGAAGGUCCGGGCGUUAUCCGGAUUUAUUGGGUUUAAAGGGAGCGUAGGCUGUCUAUUAAGCGUGUUGUGAAAUUUACCGGCUCAACCGGUGGCUUGCAGCGCGAACUGGUCGACUUGAGUAUGCAGGAAGUAGGCGGAAUUCAUGGUGUAGCGGUGAAAUGCUUAGAUAUCAUGACGAACUCCGAUUGCGCAGGCAGCUUACUGUAGCAUAACUGACGCUGAUGCUCGAAAGUGCGGGUAUCAAACAGG
rnacentral:rRNA from 1 species